AGAGCAGCAAUUACAACUGCAACUACAACCUAACCAACCGAUUUUCAGCCACGCUUUCUUAGAAAAAUCUCUAAUUUAACGGCUCUUAUUUUCACUCACCCUCUCUCUCGGCCCUCAACAACUCCUCCAUAGAACCCCAUUAGCCUCCAUUUUGUCAUCUUAGAUAUAUUCCUCAUAGUCUUCCACCCCUCUCUAAUCCUAGCAUUUUCUCUUUGAUUCUCUCUUUCUUCUUCUACUUUUUCUUUUUCUCCUCUCAUGUGAGGCGUGUUGCUGCUGCUUUGGAUUCCCACAAAGACAACAACUAGUUGCCAAAGACUCUAAAAAGUCUCUUUUUUUCUUCUUCCUUUUCUGUCACCAACAUAAUAAUAAUAAUAAUAUUGACCAUAACCAUGUGUGCAAAGGAUGCAGAGCAAGAAAUAGAGAACCCAAUUGACAAUAAUAGUAAUAGCAACAAGAUGCAAUCUUGGCCUUUGCAUUGUGACCUCUUGCAAACCCGGAUGGAGAAUUUUGAUCAAGACUCUUCUUUGAUUUGUUCUAGUGGUGGGAUCAGUGUUGCCAACUCUUAUCCUCUGGAAAGCAUCUGCGAGGAUCGAGUGGUCACAGAAAGGAAACAGAAUCUUCUAACAGAUUUUUUCCCCACCCUUCGCUCAGGAGAAUGGUCUGAUAUUGGUGGUCGGCCUUACAUGGAAGACACACACAUUUGCAUCAGUGACUUGGCUAAGAAGUUUGGCUCCAAUUUGCUCAUCAGUGAGCAUGCUAUUUCUUUCUAUGGUGUAUUUGAUGGGCAUGGAGGAGAGAGUGCAGCACAUUUUGUCUGUGAACAUUUACCAAAAGUCAUUGUUGAGGAUGCUGAUUUCCCUGUAAAACUUGAGAAAGUGGUCGCAAGGUCAUUCAUUGAGACUGAUGCUGCAUUUGAAAAGUCAUGCUCCCUUGAGUCAGCCCGUUCUUCUGGCACUACUGCACUUACUGCAAUGAUAUUUGGGAGGUCAUUACUUGUGGCAAAUGCUGGUGAUUGUCGGGCAGUAUUAUCACGAGGUGGAAUAGCUAAGGAAAUGUCAGAGGAUCACAGACCUUGCUGCAUUAAAGAAAGGACUAGAAUUGAGUCCUUAGGUGGAUUCAUUGAUGAUGGUUAUCUAAAUGGUCAGUUAGGUGUUACCCGUGCAUUAGGUGAUUGGCAUCUCGAAGGAAUGAAGAAAACAGGUGACAAAAGCGGCCCAUUAAGUGCUGAACCAGAACUUAAAUUGGUUACGUUGACCAAGGAAGAUGAGUUUUUGAUAAUCGGAAGUGAUGGAAUAUGGGAUGUAUACUCAAACCAAAAUGCAGUAGAUUUUGUUAGGAAGAGACUUCAAGAGCACAAUGAUGUGAAGCGGUGCUGCAGAGAAAUGGUCGGGGAAGCAAUAAAACGGGAAGCAACCGACAACUUGACUGUUGUAAUUGUUAGCUUUCACCUGGAGCCACCACCACCGGUGGUGGUACAGAGGACAAGAUUCAGGCGGAGCAUUUCCGCCGAGGGACUUCGGAAUCUCAAAUGCUUGCUAGAAGGAUGACAUCUCAAAGUUUAUUCUCACCACAAGCAGGACAUUUUGACUUGGAAGCUUCCAAAACUGCCCAACACAAAUUCCAACAAGACAAACUAGUAUCAUAACUCAUUGUGUCACUAGUUUGGUUCCUAUAUCCUCUGCCUUCACCACAUGAAGUGGUGGCAUGUUUGAUAACAGUCUAUUCUAAGCAGAUAAAUUGCUGUAAAACAUGUUUUGCUGGCUGGAACUCCUGACAAUAGAGCUCAAAUCACUCAGAAAUGAUGCUUGAGAGUUCUUGCACUUUAGUCUUCUUAAUGCCCAGCAAUUAUGCUACAAUAAAUGGGAAAACGCUCGCUAAAAAAACCAAAGAGUUUGUAGCUACGAGGUACUCUUGCAUGAGCAAAGGGGGUGAGGUCUGAGGUUGAGUUUCGUUUUUAUCAUUUUUCUUCUUCUUCUUCUUUUUGAUAAGCCAAAGUAGAUCAAUAGAAGAAACCAUGAAAGCAAAAGAAGCAGAGCACUGGCUCCCAAACAGAAAAGGUGAAGACACUGAACAUAAACUAGAACAACAGAGAAAUGACAGGGCAAGGUAGCUAAAAAAUAUACUUGUAUCCUUCCAUGUGAACCUGCUGCGUGCGACAGCCAUGGUAUUACCUCAGGACAUGGCUAUUUAUAUCAUAGACUACGAUCUAUCGAGGACC